rnacentral:rRNA from 1 species
AUACAGAGGGUGCGAGCGUUAAUCGGAAUUACUGGGCGUAAAGCGUGCGUAGGUGGUCUGUUAAGUCAGGUGUGAAAGCCCUGGGCUCAACCUAGGAACUGCAUUUGAUACUGGCAGACUAGAGUGUGGUAGAGGGUAGUGGAAUUCCCGGUGUAGCGGUGAAAUGCGUAGAUAUCGGGAGGAACAUCAGUGGCGAAGGCGGCUACCUGGACCAACACUGACACUGAGGUACGAAAGCGUGGGGAGCAAACAGGAUUAGAUACCCGAGUAGUCC